CUCCUACGGGAGGCAGCAGUGGGGAAUAUUGCACAAUGGGCGAAAGCCUGAUGCAGCGACGCCGCGUGAGUGAAGAAGUAUUUCGGUAUGUAAAGCUCUAUCAGCAGGGAAGAAAAUGACGGUACCUGACUAAGAAGCCCCGGCUAACUACGUGCCAGCAGCCGCGGUAAUACGUAGGGGGCAAGCGUUAUCCGGAUUUACUGGGUGUAAAGGGAGCGUAGACGGCGAAGCAAGUCUGAAGUGAAAACCCAGGGCUCAACCCUGGGACUGCUUUGGAAACUGUUUUGCUAGAGUGUCGGAGAGGUAAGUGGAAUUCCUAGUGUAGCGGUGGAAUGCGUAGAUAUCGGGAGGAACACCAGUGGCGAAGGCGGCCUACUGGGCACCAACUGACGCUGAGGCUCGAAAGUGUGGGUAGCAAACAGGAUUAGAUACCCUGGUAGUCCACACCGUAAACGAUGAUUACUAGGUGUUGGAGGAUUGACCCCUUCAGUGCCGCAGUUAACACAAUAAGUAAUCCACCUGGGGAGUACGACCGCAAGGUUGAAACUCAAAGGAAUUGACGGGGGCCCGCACAAGCAGUGGAGUAUGUGGUUUAAUUCGACGCAACGCGAAGAACCUUACCAAGUCUUGACAUCCCUUGACGAACAUAGAAAUAUGUUUUCUCUUCGGAGCAAGGAGACAGGUGGUGCAUGGUUGUCGUCAGCUCGUGUCGUGAGAUGUUGGGUUAAGUCCCGCAACGAGCGCAACCCUUAUGGUCAGUUACUACGCAAGAGGACUCUGGCCAGACUGCCGUUGACAAAACGGAGGAAGGUGGGGAUGACGUCAAAUCAUCAUGCCCUUUAUGACUUGGGCUACACACGUACUACAAUGGCGUUAAACAAAGAGAAGCAAGACCGCGAGGUGGAGCAAAACUCAGAAACAACGUCCCAGUUCGGACUGCAGGCUGCAACUCGCCUGCACGAAGUCGGAAUUGCUAGUAAUCGUGGAUCAGCAUGCCACGGUGAAUACGUUCCCGGGCCUUGUACACACCGC
rnacentral:rRNA from 1 species